GACGAACGCUGGCGGCGUGCUUAACACAUGCAAGUCGAACGGAAAGGCCCUGCUUUUGUGGGGUGCUCGAGUGGCGAACGGGUGAGUAACACGUGAGUAACCUGCCCUUGACUUUGGGAUAACUUCAGGAAACUGGGGCUAAUAUCGGAUAGGAGCUCCUGCUCCAUGGUGGGGGUUGGUAAGUUUGGGCGGUUGUGGCUGGACUCGCGGCUUAUCCGCUUGUUGGUCGGGUAGUGGCUUUCCAAGGCUUCGACGGGUAGCCGGCCUUGGAGGGUGAACGGGCACAAGGGGACUGAGAGAGGGACCAGAAUCCUACGGGAGGCAGUAGUGGGGAAUAUUGCGCAAUGGGCGGAAGCCUGAUGCAGAGACGCCGCGUGCGUAAUGACGUCCUUCGGGUUGUAAACAGCUUUGUCCUGUGACGAAGCGUGAGUGACGGUACUGGGUAAAGAAGCACCGGCUAACUACGUG
rnacentral:rRNA from 1 species